ACUCCUACGGGAGGCAGCAGUAGGGAAUCUUCCACAAUGGGCGAAAGCCUGAUGGAGCAACGCCGCGUGGGUGAAGAAGGUCUUCGGAUCGUAAAACCCUGUUGUUAGAGAAGAAAGUGCGUGAGAGUAACUGUUCACGUUUCGACGGUAUCUAACCAGAAAGCCACGGCUAACUACGUGCCAGCAGCCGCGGUAAUACGUAGGUGGCAAGCGUUAUCCGGAUUUAUUGGGGCGUAAAGGGAACGCAGGCGGUCUUUUAAGUCUGAUGUGAAAGCCUUCGGCUUAACCGGAGUAGUGCAUUGGAAACUGGGAGACUUGAGUGCAGAAGAGGAGAGUGGAACUCCAUGUGUAGCGGUGAAAUGCGUAGAUAUAUGGAAGAACACCAGUGGCGAAAGCGGCUCUCUGGUCUGUAACUGACGCUGAGGUUCGAAAGCGUGGGUAGCAAACAGGAUUAGAUACCCUGGUAGGAUAGCG
rnacentral:rRNA from 1 species